rnacentral:rRNA from 1 species
CCCUUAGAUGUUCUGGGCCGCACGCGCGCUACACUGAUGCAUUCAACGAGCCUAUCCUUGACCGACAGGUCCGGGUAAUCUUUGAAUCUGCAUCGUGACGGGGAUAGAUUAUUGCAAUUAUUAAUCUUCAACGAGGAAUGCCUAGUAGGCGCAAGUCAUCAGCUUGCGUCGAUUACGUCCCUGCCCUUUGUACACACCGCCCGUCGCUCCUACCGAUUGGGUGUGCUGGUGAAAUGUUCGGAUCGGCCGUUUGUCGCGGUUUCCGCGUCAUGUGGCUGAGAUGUUCAUUAAACCCUCCCACCUAGAGGAAGGAGAAGUCGUAACA